GAUAGAAAGAGAUCCGCAAACUUUUCUGUUAAAGAAGAAUCCAUUUUAAUCUCCUUAGUGAAAAAAUAUAAAGAAAUUGUGGAGUCUCAGAUUCGAAUGCGAACCUUAAAAAAGUGGAGACUUGGAGAAAAAUUGAAAAUGAAUUCAAUAGUAUUGCUGGAGAGAAUUAUCGUUCUCAUAAGGUCCUAAAGAAGAAAUAUGAUAAUAUUAAAAAGAGGCAAAAAAGAAGUUUGCUAAUGAGAAAUUGUACAUGCGAGGCACUGGUGGUGGCUCACAUCAAGAGAUUAAAUUUAGUGAGCUUGAUGAAAAGAUUAAUGAACUACUUGGAGCAAGAAUUGAAGGAGAUGUUUCAGAGUUUGAUGGAGAUGCAACAACACUGGUAGAAGAAUCUGAUAGAGAGGAUAAGACAAGUCAAUUCAGUUGUAUAUCAUUUUCAAGAGUACAAUACAUCCGUUUAUGACUUUGUGGUUGAAGAAGUCGCAUCAGAUUUUUUAAAGGACCAUGGUAAAAAGUUUUCCAUACUACGAUAAUGACAUGUGGAAGUUAUUUUCUUUACAGAUUAUUACAGCUCAAGUCAACCACAAGUAGAUAGAGAAAUUUCAUCGCAGACAGAGGAAGUAAAUACAUCUUCUCCAAUUGAAAAUAAUACAGCAGUUUGUAUAGUAUCUCAAGCUUCCAAACAGUCAGGAAAUUGGUCAAAAUAUAAUCCUGCUAUGCUGAAGGCAAAAAAGUCUAAAGCGUUAGAUCAAAGAUACAUAAAAAGUAGGAAGAAUAUAUUCUCUUCUGAAGCUGCAAUAAGUAAUAGGGUAUCACAAUGGGCAGAAGCUAAAUCUGCUUUGGAAGCAGCAAAAACUCGUUUUCUAGAAGAAGAACAAGGCUUGAAACUAAAAUUUAUGAAGUAAAAACAUGAAUUGGAAUUGCUAAACAUGAAGAGAAAAGCUGAUGAAGAAAUUGAAUUGAUGAAAGAAUACCAUCAAGCAAAAAUGGAAAUUUUAGAAAUACAAAAAAUGAUGAUACAAAAGACUAAAAGUCAGUAGUUGGAUAGAGGAGUAAAGAAACAUGAAAAAAUUAACAAUAAAUAAUUUAUUUUAAAAAUA